GACAGAGGCCUCACGGUGGGUUCGUGGCCUUACAGACCGGCCUGAGCGGGGUAACGCGAUGCGGAGCCGCCCCUCACCUGCCUGAGGGCAUGGCGCCUCGCGGCUCUCCUCAGGAGCUGGCUGGGCCGGGCAGCAGCGCGUCGUCCAGUCACCGGUGGAGCCGGGCGCAGGAGGGCUUCGACGGCCGCUGGGCCUCGGGAAGGCUGGGGCAGGAGGUUGAAGAUGUGAAACAUACCGUGAAAAGGCUCAAAGCUGACAUAUUUCAGGCUAGGAGCAUCCCACAUGUGUGACUGUGCUGAACUUCUUCUUGCCAGGAUUCCUCUAAAACACUCAGGAACUCCAGAACAUGGUGUGUUUACUGAGCAAAUGCAGAAACAUCAGUGAGAGCUGGAAUUGGAGCCAAGGCUGAAGAGAACAGGGAUGCCAUGUGAGAGAUGAGACCCUGGGGACAAGUUUCUGAUGGUAACAGCAUGGACAAUAAUGGGAAAGUGAUGCAUUCAGGUUCUUCAGAGAAGAUAAUGAAACUCACUUUAUGAUUUGAAGGUAGAGCUGAGCAAGAAGAAGAAAGACCUUGUCUAGAGGUCAAGGCUGACAGAGUCUCAACUACUAGGAUGUUUAAGCACGACUGAUCUGCUAGUGGAUACAGUUGUAACCCUAGGACUGACCUUGAUUAACUAAUGUGUGUGUUGGAAGGCAUUAAUGUUUUCUCUUGUAGUGGAAAUUGUAUAAAAGUGAGGUUUCUCAAGCAGAGAGCUGGAAUACAAGCACCAUGUAAAUCUGUACAGAUUUUGUGCUGUUCUCUUAGGAAGUGCCCCCUUAUAGAAUAUCUUGUAGUGGAUAUCUGUUUCAGCCAUCACAGGUUGAUUUUUUGGGGAAUUCCUACCCUUGUUGUGGUUUAGUUAUAUUUUACACUUCAUUUAAAGUCCUUCUUUUCAGGAAAAUCAGUGAAACUGAAUUGUCAUCUGUGUGUGUAUUCAGGGGAAGUGGUAUUAGGACCAAUAAGGAAUUAUUUAAACAUGAAAAUAAACUUAUUAUGUGAUAGAGUUCAUGAGGGUAGAAGAUACAGAGAUUAAUUAAAUCACAAGUUGCUACUCCCAACACAGCAUUCUGUGACUAAAAGGCCAGCAUACUGUAUGGUGAACUGAGAAUACAUGAAAAUCAAAGGAAACAUUUACAAAAUUUGCCAACUUCAAGUUGUACAGCUUAUUACAGUGAUGUGUUCUGCCGAAUGAGAUCUAAUUCAACAUGAGUAAUAGUAGGAAAAAUCUCACUACGUGUGAACAUUUACUAUGAAACAGUCCAAAGCAGUCAACAGAUGCUAUUCAUAGUUUAUAGUUCGCCCAGUUUUCCCAGUUGGAUCGUCUGAAGCACAGCUCAGAUUUGUUUAAACUCAGCCUCAGCUUGGAAAGGUCUGUGGGUUGUUAAGAUGUAACACACUGAGAGUCUCACUGGACCUGCCUGCACCAGAAAAUGAAUCAAAUUCCGGACACUGAAGUAGGCUCACAUGAAAACAGAAAUACCAGGGGUGUUUUUACUGCUGCUGUCUGCCCCUGUGCCAGGCCAAGCCAAAAUUGUCCCCUACCUGCAUGUCAGAAGUCUCAAAAGUUCACCGUAAGGA